AUGAGGAAACUGAGGCCUAGGAGAGUUAAAGGACUGCCCAAGACCACACCACCGCACAGAGACACCAGGACUGAACGCUUGUGUCUUCUGACUUGCAGCUUCCAGCAGCCUGGAUCAUGCUCUUCUUACCUCAUCUGGGUAGCAAGAGAAGGCUGCUCUAAAGCUACCUUACUCCCAGGUUGCAGGAGCAGAACCAAGACGUUCAGAUCCCUUGAGGAAGAGAAUGGCUCAGCAUGAGGGGGCCUCACCCAGAGCCCUGGGUCUGCUCUGAGCCCCUCACUUAAAGAGGGAAGCUGACCAAAUGAGCAGAACAGAGCAACAGAGCAAGUGGCACCAGAGAGACCACCCACGGAGGGCACUUCGUGAAGAGCGAGGAUUGGCUCUGACCAGUGCUUAUCAGCAGGCACACAGGUAGUUGAAAACAAAUCCCAGAUAUCAGGUGACUUCAUGUGGAAUGACUUCAGUAAGUACCUCUCACUAACUGGCCAUGCCAGGAUCACACCUGAGGAAAUUAACAGUAAUCCCAUGGUGAGCGUCAGCUGACACUCAGUCCCUCUUUAACUGCGCCCCGCCUCCUCCCGUAAAUAUGUAAACCCACACUGCAAGGGUGGAUGGAGGGCCAUGUGGCCGGGCGGCUUCUGUGCUUUAGCUUUGGAGCCUUAAGAGGGUGAGGGUUGAAUACCUGUGGCUUUGGGUGGGUGGUUUGCUUUAUGGGGCCUCUCUUUCUUCCUAUGCCAAAGGUACUGACCUCUCCCAAGGCGGUCAGGAGGACUGAAUGAAAUUGUAUGAGUACAGUACUGGGUACUUGGUAGGGACUCAAUGAAUGGUGGCAGUGCUUACGAUGUUUUCUAUUUUGCAUAUAAGGAAACUGAAGUUCAGAGCAGGAGAGUGACUUGCUCAAGCUCACACAGCUCAGAGUGGUUAAGCUAGGAUGGAAGCGUAGGUCUUCUAAGUGCUCUGGGAUGUGUGUUCAACACAGCCCCCUCACCCCCUCUAAUACUGGCCUUGUCUGCCACCACCCCAUACUACAAAUGGAAAUGACACAGAGGGUGACAUCAACUGGUCCCUUUUUCUCGAUAGCCACUAGAUCAUGGUGCUGUGGGCUGAGCAGAUGAUUGAUAGGACAUCACUGGGCCUGGCUCUCCAGGAGACCUAGAAAAAGAUCUUGCCCCUCUCUGGGCCUCAGUUUCCCUAUCUGUACCACAAGGGCAUUGACCUCCACGUGGUCUUCGAGACCUCUUCCAGUUCUGCUUUGUUUGCACCAGGGUUAGUAACCGUGGGAAUGGGAGAGAUGGAGAUACUUGAGGCUGAUGGGGAGUUGCACAGCCCAAGACCCCAGGCUGCAAGACAGUAUGGGGAUGAGGGCGAUCCUCCCAUAUUGGAGAUCAGGGAUGGGGUGGCCCAGCUAGGUAGAAGUGAAGCUCCCCCACCCCCACUGGAUUGUGAACCUCCUGAAAUUAGGGCUGUGACUUGUACCUUAUAAGUAUCACAUAGAUGAGAUAAAAAAUUUCAUCGAUGUAAUGGAUGGAACACUAGAUAGGAGAUCAGUAAGGAAAUAGAAGACUUUAAAAACACUGUAAACCAGCUAGACCUAACAGACACUGCUUUCUAACGGCGAUUGAAGAGCACAUUCCACCCAGCAACAGCAGAAUACACAUUCUUCUCAAGUGCACACGGACCAUUCUCUAGCAUAGAUCAUAUCUUAGGCCACAAAUCAAAUCUCAAUAAAUUUAGAAAAAUUGAAAUUACACAAAAUAUGUUCUCUGACAACAGAGUAAUGAAAUUAGAAGGUCAAAAACAGAAGGAAAUUUGAAAAUUCACAAAUAUGUAAAAAUUAAACGACACACUCCUAACCAAAGGGUCAAAAAAUAAAUCAUAAGGGAAAUUAGAAAAUACUUUGAGACGAAUGAAAACAAAAACACAACAUACUAAAACUUACAGGAUGCAGUAAAAGCAGUGCUCAGAGGGAAAUUUAUAGCUGUAAACACCUACCUUAAAAUAGAAGAUCUCAAAUCAAUAACCUUCCACCUUACUAAAAAAAAAAAAAGCAAACUAAAUCCAAAGCAAGCAAAUAAAAAAAUUAGAACAGAGAUAAAUGAAACAGAGAACAGAAAAACGAUAGAGAAAAAUCAGCAAAACCAAAAGUUGGUUGUCUGAAAUGAUCUACAGAAUUGACAAACCUUUAGCUAAACUGACCGAGAAAAAAAAAAAGAGAGAGAAAACUGAAAUUACUAAAGUCAGGAAUGGAAGUGGAGACCUUGCCACUGACCUUACAGAAAUAAAAAGGAUUAUACAAUUUCACUGAUAGAUUCGAAAGAAACUCCACAACAUUUCUAGAGAUUGGAGAGAACAUCCGGAAAUGGUUACCAGUAGUUGCCUUCAGGGAAACAGGGCUGGGGUGGGUGGAGCUGGGGUGCCUGCUUUUUAUUAUAAGUCCUUAAGGGCUAUUUUUGUAAAUGCUUUGAUUGCAAAAUAUAAGACACAUACAGAAAGUGGAUUUUUAAAAAGUACCGCUCAGUAAUUUAUCACCAAGUGAAUAUCCAUGAAACCACCACUUGGUCAAGAGGAACAUUACCACCUCCCCAGAAGCCCCUCCUGUACUCUAGCCAAUCCUCCUCCCCAAAGAAAACCACCAUUCUGACCUUUAUGGCAAAUACUCUUGCUCUCCUUGAUAGUUUUGCCAUCUCUACACACAAUAGUUGGGUUCAGUUCGUGCUUGAUAAAUCCAAUCAAGUAGCAGGUCCUCUUUUGGGUCCGGCUUCUUGCAUUUUACAUUCUGUUUGUGAGAUUCCCCAUGCUGUUGUAGGAAGCAGUCGUUGGCUCAAAUUUUCUUAGCUGUAUCAUAUUCCAUUUUAUGAGUACACCAUCAUUUAUGUGUCUGUUCAACUAUUGAUGGAAUGGGCUUUUUAAAAAGCCAUGUACCUAAAGAUAGGUUGAUUAAAAUAUUUCUGAUAAAAUGCACAUUUAAAAUGCAACUCAACACAUAUUAGUUUAAUUUCAUCCCUAGGAUCCUCAUUCCCUUUUCUGCUCCAAUAAGUCAUGAAGACAGCUUGGGUCUCAGAAGAAAAUAGGCCGUUUAAGCAGAAGCCCAGAGGGAACACAUCUGAGAGAUGCCCACACCCCCAUGGGGUCCUCUCAUCAGCCCUUCUCCCCAAAUUUUCAGCCUCAAAUGGGGGAGGUCACACAGAUGGAGAGAAACCACUCUCUCCCUUCCACCCGAGGUCUGCAGAUUCCUGACACACAUACGAGUGCACACCCAGGCAGACAGGCAAGAGCGUGGCCCCCACACAUGAGCACACACACGGGCACCUAGGCAUAUCCCAGAAGUGGCAAUGCCUGCUGGCACCUGACCAGCAGGCGAGGUCUGUGCACAGAGAAGUUGUGGAAGAAGAGGAGGGGAAAGCGUGGGGGAAAAAUCCCCUCAUUUCUGAAGAAAUGUCCCAGAUUAGAUUUGUAAAUCAAAAACCAAUAUAUAACAUGCAAGAAUUGAUCUGUUUUAUAUUCCUCAGUUACAUUUUUGUGAAGCACAUUUAGAAGAUUUAGAACGUAUUUGCGCCUGCUGGUUGGGCCAUUAUAUGCUUGAGUUCAUACAUCUAUUUGUGAGGCUAUAAAACAGGCAUCGACUACCAUGUAAAUUGUGUUCUCCACAAUAAAUUAUAUGCAUACUUGCAAAAAUACAUAACUGCCGUGCCUGGGCCAACGCGGCCAGAAUACUAAUGAGGGCGAAAGUUGCUUUGUCCCUCUUCUCCGGCCUAAUUUAGCCUCUACAUCAAAAAUUAUGUAGGAAAAAUCACUUUAUCCUCUCACUGAGAAAUAAAAUAGCACUCAUGGGUACCCUCAUCUCUUCCCACCCCCGUUCCUUUUAACCGAACACUACCAUUUUCAUACUAAUUUUAGCUGCUCCAGGUUUACGGGGAGGAAGCCUGGCUGAGCUGAAGCUGGGGUGCCAGCGGGCUGCCUGGAUGUAUGAGAAGGCUGUGGGAGUGGGCAUGUGCAUGCACACACUCACACACACACAUGCAUACACACGUAGGCACAUUCCCUCCGUGUGGUUUGAAUUCGCUUGUGCCAGGGCAUGUUCACAGCAUGCACACAGACCUACAUGUAAAUGUGAAGACUCACCCCAGACACGCAUGCACAGACACUCCACGAGCAUUUGCCCACGUGGCGCAGAUUCAUUCCCUCUCCCCGGUACAGACUCCUAUGCACAGAGACACACUGGGGAAAUUCAGUUCAGUUCGGUUCAAUUCAGUUCAAACAGGUCAGUCCAGCAAACACUGACUGAGCACCUAUUAGAUGCCAUGUGCUGUACUUGGCAUUGGGACUACGGAGAUUUUUUUUUAAAAAAGGCAGAAUCUCAGCUUAUAGCUCAGGGGAAGAGGCAGCUUUAGGAACAAAUGCAGACAAGUCAGUAUGCUGAGGGCUGUAGCAGAGACAGAGAGCAUACAGGUACACACACUCACGCCCUGGUCAUUGUCAGUGUGCAUAUUUUCCAGUACUCAUAUGUGCACACACAGAUGCACACAGAGUCCCUGCACUUACACAGGCACAUACCUCACACCACAUGGACUCACGUGUGCAUGCACAACACACACAUACACACACCGGUACACUCAAGCAUCAGCAUAGCCACCCUCCCACUGACACCGCAUGCUGGUGCCUGCCUCACCUCUGUCUUUCCUGCAAGCCCAAGUUAACUUCACGCCCUGUCUGGCUUGCCCUUUCUUGGGUUCUGUUGCUGUCUAUCCUGGAAGCAGAGCCACUUCCAACAGCAGGCUGGCUAGUGUUGCUCCCACUUCUCCCAGGGGCCUGCCCAAGGUUCCAUCUUGCUGGGAGCUUCCGCAGGCUCACAAGAGGAAGGAGAAGUAGACACAGGAAGAUCUCAUUUCCAUGACCUCAGGCCAGUCCGUGCCCUGUCCCAGGCCUCAGUUUACUCCUUUUCUUUUUCUUUUUUCCUUUUUUUUU